AGUGAACGCUGGCGGUAGGCCUAACACAUGCAAGUCGAACGGCAGCACAGUAAGAGCUUGCUCUUACGGGUGGCGAGUGGCGGACGGGUGAGGAAUACAUCGGAAUCUACUUUUUCGUGGGGGAUAACGUAGGGAAACUUACGCUAAUACCGCAUACGACCUACGGGUGAAAGCAGGGGAUCUUCGGACCUUGCGCGAUUGAAUGAGCCGAUGUCGGAUUAGCUAGUGGGCGGGGUAAAGGCCCACCAAGGCGACGAUCCGUAGCUGGUCUGAGAGGAUGAUAAGCCACACUGGAACUGAGACACGGUCCAGACUCCUACGGGAGGCAGCAGUGGGGAAUAUUGGACAAUGGGCGCAAGCCUGAUCCAGCCAUACCGCGUGGGUGAAGAAGGCCUUCGGGUUGUAAAGCCCUUUUGUUCGGAAAGAAAAGCAGCAGGUUAAUACCCCGCUGUUCUGACGGUACCCAAAGAAUAAGCACCGGCUAACUUCGUG
rnacentral:rRNA from 1 species